ensembl:snRNA U6 U6 spliceosomal RNA
GUACUCAUUUCUGCAGCACAUAUACUAAUUAAUACUGGAACGAUACAGAGAGGAUCAGCACGGCCCCUACCCAAGGGUGACAUGCAAAUUUAUGAAGCGUCCUAUAUUUCU